GUGGAUGAAGAGCUCAUACUCUCUUAAAACAUGCUUCAAUGGAUGGUUCACGAAAAUGGAGCAAAAAAAAUCAUAUGUUUCAAUAUCUUAACGGGACAAGGAUAGGCAAAAACAACACUUUCACGAGAGGGAGAAAGACAAUACUAAACCAAGUUUGGUUCUUGAUUAGCUACUAACAAAGCCCAAAAUCUCUCAAGCAGUUAUCGUUCAAGAAACCCCAAUUUAACACAGGCUCAGUGUUUAAU
rnacentral:misc_RNA from 1 species